UUACCAAGGCGACGACGGGUAGCCGGCCUGAGAGGGUGACCGGCCACACUGGGACUGAGACACGGCCCAGACUCCUACGGGAGGCAGCAGUGGGGAAUAUUGCACAAUGGGCGCAAGCCUGAUGCAGCGACGCCGCGUGAGGGAUGACGGCCUUCGGGUUGUAAACCUCUUUCAGUAGGGAAGAAGCGAAAGUGACGGUACCUGCAGAAGAAGCGCCGGGCUAACUACGUGCCAGCAGCCCGCGGUAAUACGUAGGGCGCAAGCGUUAUCCGGGAAUUAUUGGGCGUAAAGAGCUCGUAGGCGGUUUGUCGCGUCUGCCGUGAAAGUCCGGGGCUCAACUCCGGAUCUGCGGUGGGUACGGGCAGACUAGAGUGAUGUAGGGGAGACUGGAAUUCCUGGUGUAGCGGUGAAAUGCGCAGAUAUCAGGAGGAACACCGAUGGCGAAGGCAGGUCUCUGGGCAUUAACUGACGCUGAGGAGCGAAAGCAUGGGGAGCGAACAGGAUUAGAUACCCUGGUAGUCCAUGCCGUAAACGUUGGGCACUAGGUGUGGGGGACAUUCCACGUUUUCCGCGCCGUAGCUAACGCAUUAAGUGCCCCGCCUGGGGAGUACGGCCGCAAGGCUAAAACUCAAAGGAAUUGACGGGGGCCCGCACAAGCGGCGGAGCAUGCGGAUUAAUUCGAUGCAACGCGAAGAACCUUACCAAGGCUUGACAUGGACCGGACCGCCGCAGAAAUGUGGUUUCUCCUUUUGGGGCCGGUUCACAGGUGGUGCAUGGUUGUCGUCAGCUCGUGUCGUGAGAUGUUGGGUUAAGUCCCGCAACGAGCGCAACCCUCGUUCCAUGUUGCCAGCACGUGAUGGUGGGGACUCAUGGGAGACUGCCGGGGUCAACUCGGAGGAAGGUGGGGACGACGUCAAAUCAUCAUGCCCCUUAUGUCUUGGGCUUCACGCAUGCUACAAUGGCCGGUACAAAGGGUUGCGAUACUGUGAGGU
rnacentral:rRNA from 1 species